AUUGAACGCUGGCGGCAUGCCUUACACAUGCAAGUCGAACGGUAACGCGGGGCAACCUGGCGACGAGUGGCGAACGGGUGAGUAAUGCAUCGGAACGUGCCCGGUAGUGGGGGAUAACUGCUCGAAAGAGCAGCUAAUACCGCAUACGACCUGAGGGUGAAAGGGGGGGAUCGCAAGACCUCUCGCUAUCGGAGCGGCCGAUGUCGGAUUAGCUAGUUGGUGGGGUAAAAGCCCACCAAGGCGACGAUCCGUAGCUGGUCUGAGAGGACGACCAGCCACACUGGGACUGAGACACGGCCCAGACUCCUACGGGAGGCAGCAGUGGGGAAUUUUGGACAAUGGACGCAAGUCUGAUCCAGCCAUGCCGCGUGCGGGAAGAAGGCCUUCGGGUCGUAAACCGCUUUUGUCAGGGAAGAAAUCUUCUGAGUUAAUACCUCGGGAGGAUGACGGUACCUGAAGAAUAAGCACCGGCUAACUACGUGCCAGCCGCCGCGGUAA
rnacentral:rRNA from 1 species